rnacentral:rRNA from 1 species
UACGUAGGGGGCAAGCGUUAUCCGGAUUUACUGGGUGUAAAGGGAGCGUAGACGGCAUCGCAAGUCAGAGGUGAAAUCCCGGGGCUCAACCCCGGGGCUGCCUUUGAAACUGCGAAGCUAGAGUGCAGGAGAGGUAAGUGGAAUUCCUAGUGUAGCGGUGAAAUGCGUAGAUAUUAGGAGGAACACCAGUGGCGAAGGCGACUUACUGGACUGUAACUGACGUUGAGGCUCGAAAGCGUGGGGAGCAAACAGG